AAGUCGUAACAAGGUUUCCGUAGGUGAACCUGCGGAAGGAUCAUUACUGAACUGUCGACACGAGUUGUUGCUGGUCCUCAAAUGGGGGCAUGUGCACGCUCUGUUUACACAUCCACUCACACCUGUGCACCUUCUGUAGUUCUAUGGGCUGGGGGACCCUGUCCUCCUUCUGUAGCUCUACGUCUUUACACACACACUGUAAUAAAGUCUUGUGGAAUGUAUGCCGCGUUUAACGCAAUACAAUACAACUUUCAGCAACGGAUCUCUUGGCUCUCGCAUCGAUGAAGAACGCAGCGAAAUGCGAUAAGUAAUGUGAAUUGCAGAAUUCAGUGAAUCAUCGAAUCUUUGAACGCACCUUGCGCCCCUUGGUUAUUCCGAAGGGCAUGCCUGUUUGAGUAUCAUGAACACCUCAACUCUUGUGGUUUCCCACAAUGAGCUUGGACCAUGGGGGUUUUUGUUGGCCUUCUGGUCAGCUCCUCUCAAAUGUAUCAGCUUACCGGUGUUUGGUGGCAUCAUGGGUGUGAUAACUAUCUACGCUCGUGGUCGUCUCCAAAUGACCUCCAGUGAUGGGGGUUCGCUGGAGCUUAUAAAUGUCUCUCCCUAGUGAAGACAGCCUUUGAACGUUCGAUCUCAAAUCAGGUAGGACUACCCGCUGAACUUAAGCAUAUCAAUA
rnacentral:rRNA from 1 species